UGCCUUGAGGGUGCACAAAUUAGCUUC
rnacentral:sRNA from 1 species